UCAUUCGCCAUAUGUAUCAAUCAGUUCAAAAUCCCUCUGUGAAUUUCAGUAUUGGUGGAUAACAUACAGUCACAUCAUGAAAAGGGAUCCCACUUCCAAUAUCAUGACCGAGACAGAAAUAGGAAGACUUUGAGAAAUACAAAGGAUGCUUAUGCAGAUUGCAGAUUAAAGUUUUGAGUUCUGAAAUUUUUUCUGAUGCAAAGACU
rnacentral:lncRNA from 1 species